CAGUAGCCGCGGUAACACGUAGGUGGCAAGCGUUGUCCGGAAUUAUUGGGCGUAAAGGGCUCGCAGGCGGUUUCUUAAGUCUGAUGUGAAAGCCCCCGGCUCAACCGGGGAGGGUCAUUGGAAACUGGGAAACUUGAGUGCAGAAGAGGAGAGUGGAAUUCCACGUGUAGCGGUGAAAUGCGUGGAGAUGUGGAGGAACACCAGUGGCGAAGGCGACUCUCUGGUCUGUAACUGACGCUGAGGAGCGAAAGCGUGGGGAGCGAACAGGAUUAGAUACCCCCGUAGUCCCUGUCUCUUAUAU
rnacentral:rRNA from 1 species